rnacentral:rRNA from 1 species
GACGAACGCUGGCGACGUGCUUAACACAUGCAAGUCGAACGGAAAGGCCCUGCUUUUGUGGGGUGCUCGAGUGGCGAACGGGUGAGUAACACGUGAGUAACCUGCCCUUGACUUUGGGAUAACUUCAGGAAACUGGGGCUAAUACCGGAUAGGAGCUCCUGCUGCAUGGUGGGGGUUGGAAAGUUUCGGCGGUUGGGGAUGGACUCGCGGCUUAUCAGCUUGUUGGUGGGGUAGUGGCUUACCAAGGCUUUGACGGGUAGCCGGCCUGAGAGGGUGACCGGCCACAUUGGGACUGAGAUACGGCCCAGACUCCUACGGGAGGCAGCAGUGGGGAAUAUUGCACAAUGGGCGGAAGCCUGAUGCAGCAACGCCGCGUGCGGGAUGACGGCCUUCGGGUUGUAAACCGCUUUCGCCUGUGACGAAGCGUGAGUGACGGUAAUGGGUAAAGAAGCACCGGCUAACUACAUG